AAUGGAAGUUGCUCUGGGUGAGUUAGUGAGUGAGUGGUGAGUGAAUGUGAAGGCCUAGGGCCUUACUGUACACUGCUGUAGACUUUAGAAACAUGGUACAGUUAGGCUACAUCAAAUUUAUAAAAAAUAGUUCUUUUAUAAUAAAUUAACCUUAGUUUACUAUAACUAUUUUACUUUAUAAACUUAACAUUUUUUUUCCCACUUGCCAAGGCUGAUGUAACAUUUUAAUCUUUUUUUAACUUUUUUUUUUCGACCAGUUGUCAAAUGAUCCUUUAUUGAAAUAUUUUCCUUUGUGCUUAACUAGCUGGGCAUUCCACAGCACCACUGUUGAUGUCAUCUAUGAUGUCAUGAGGGUGGUGGCCAUCAACAUUACAGCCCAUAGACUGGGCAGUCCCCGGAAUCUCUUUAAUGGUUCCAGAGAGUUCUCUGGCUAAGGAUCGGUGCCGCAUCUGUCGAGCAAUGUUGACGAUCUCAUCAAAAGUGAUAUUCCCAUUGUGUUUAAUGUUUUUCUGUUUCUUUCUGUCUCUUGGUGGUUUCUUGAGGGCUUUGAUGAUCGGGGCAGAGGCAGAAGGCACCACCUCAAUCUGGGCCUGUCUGUUCUCAAUGGUCAGUUUCACUGUAAUCCUCAGGCCCUUCCAGUCACCCGUUGCCUUGGCAAUGUCAUCACCAACCUUUUUUGGAGACAGACCCAGGGGGCCGAUCUUGGGGGCCAGGGCAGAAGUGGCACCGACUUCACCUCUGGUGCACCUCAGGUAUACGACCUUGAUCUCGUUGGGGUCGAACUUCGGUGGCAUGGUGGAGGCAGCUGGUGUCGGAUGAACCCAGAUUCAGG
rnacentral:lncRNA from 1 species